CUACGGGAGGCAGCAGUGGGGAAUCUUGCGCAAUGCGCGAAAGCGUGACGCAGCAACGCCGCGUGAGGGAAGACGGCCUUCGGGUUGUAAACCUCUUUCAGGAGGGACGAAGGUUCAGGCGCGAAUAGCGUCCUGGACUGACGGUACCUCCAGAAGAAGCUCCGGCUAACUACGUGCCAGCAGCCGCGGUAAUACGUAGGGAGCUAGCGUUGUCCGGAAUCAUUGGGCGUAAAGCGCGCGUAGGCGGCCCGGUAAGUCCGCUGUGAAAGUCAAAGGCUCAACCUUUGAAUGUCAGCGGAUACUGCCGGGCUAGAGUCCGGAAGAGGCGAGUGGAACUCCUGGUGUAGCGGUGGAAUGCGCAGAUAUCAGGAAGAACACCAACGGCGAAGGCAGCUCGCUGGGACGGAACUGACGCUAAGGCGCGAAAGCGUGGGGAGCGAACAGGCUUAGAUACCCCGGUAGA
rnacentral:rRNA from 1 species